AAUUAAGGUUGCAGACGAACUGACAUUGCCAAUCAUCUGGCCUUCAAAUGGCAGAUCAUUCCAGAUGAUCUCGAUAGGCCCAACUUAAUCACAGGGGUCCGUGAAAGUCAGAGAGGGAGGGAGAAGGGCACGGAGGGAGAAGUGACUACGGUGAAGAUUAUCAGGGAAGGUCACAGCUGACGACCUUGAAGACAGAGCAAGAGAUCUGUGAGCUCAGGACGCCAGUGACCUCUGAAGGCAGGAAAGCACCAGGGGACAAAUUCUCCCCAAGGGCCCCCAGGCAGGAGCACGGCCCUGCCAACACCGACUGCUGUCCAGUGGGACCGUUUGGAUCUCUGAUCCCCAGAACUGUAAGAUAACCAAUCUGCGGUGUUUCAAGUCAUUGAAUUUGUCCUCAUUUGUAGUUCAUUAUAGCUCUAAUUAUAGUAGCAGGAAGAAACGCAUGCACCUUCCAUUUCUGCUUUGUUGAAAGGGUUUUUUUUUUUUUAAAUAAAUGAGUGCUUUGCUCUUUUCUCUUUUAACAGUAAAUCACAUGUUCCUGAUUGCUCUUGGGUCUCAUAAUUUGUAAAAUCGUCUUUCAGAUAUUGUGUGAAAAAGAGCAGUAGAGAAUGAGGUCAUUUUAUCUUCUGCAAGAAGGUGUGGUCCUUCUCUCCAGCUGCUAGCAUAGGACAUAAUCCAGUCUCUGGUUGAGUUUGGGGCUUUCUCACACAUUUAAUUUGGUCCAAUUCAUGAUUAGCUCCAAGUGUUUUGAGGUUAGAAUCAAGACUUCCUCCUUUGGCAGGGACCCACGGCUCUGAGUGUCUCCUUGUACCUUACUGUCCAACGUCCAGCUUUUUGAGCUAUGGGGGCUGUCUCUGCUGUGGUCUCCAUUCCACCCCUCUUCCUGUGUCCCAGGAGAUCUCUCUCUCUGCCCUGUUGCUCUGCUCAGUUCCCACAGGGCCACUGCAGUGCACCUGCUGAGGCUCCACUCUCCAGUCCUGUCCUCAGCUGAUGGUCGUCGCUGUGCAAGCCCCAGAGUGCCUCAGAGGGAAUUCUUGCAGUCCUUUGCCUCCCUUUGGCUGGGACCCCAGUGUUCUGGUGAUCAGCAGCAUGAACUCAUUUUUAACCCCCUGACACUUCCCUGCCCUCACUUUGUGCUUUCCUGACUAUACUUGAAUUGAACCAGAAAUAGACAUCGGAUCCAAGCUGGGCCAAGAAGUUCCUCUCCCUACAGGAAUCCGGAAUUGGGAUUCAGAGUUGGUAGUCAGUCUGCUGGGCAGGUGAAUUGGAAAAUAUUGUAAAGGUUGAAUGGAAGCAGCCAUAUUUGGUCACUGACACACAAAGGAGAAAGAAAGAGAAGGAACCGAUGUAAAAGGAAGCAGUUUAAGAGAGAGAACAGCCAGAGAGAGAUGAGCCCAAGAGAAAGAGACACAAAGAUAUUGCUAAACAUGCGAAGAAGCCAAAGGAAAGAAAAAGCCACGGAGCUGCAGGCGCAGGGAACGGCACCUACCCAACCACAAAGGAAAACAUUCAGAGAGAAGAAGACAGACUGAGGAAAACAAAGACAAAGAGAGUAAAAGACAGGAAGAAAUCUGACUCCACACUUGCCCGCAACCUCACAGUGCCUGGGGUAGUGCGACCCUUGCAGCAGAGACUGACCUACCAAUUUCCGCAUGAACACCAUGCAUGCUAGCGAUGAAAUCCAGAUGACCUCAUUUAGAUUAUCUGUGCAUAUACGCAGUAAUGACAUCCAAGAAACAGUGAUUAAUCUUAAAAAUGCUCACUGUCCACACAGUGGAUAAUUAUGAAAGCUGUCAUUUUAACACAAACUCAGACAACCAUGUCUUGUAAGUAGCAACUUUUGCUGACCCUUCUCUGCUCCAGAACCUUCAGUGGCUCCCAUUGCUGACUGAAUUUUAGCCAAAGAUCUGUAGCAGGCAUUCAAGACUCCUUAGAAUGUGGUCCCAAGUCCAUUUCCAUUCUGUCUCUUUUUUCCCACUCUAGUGCAAAAGGACCGUCUCUAUCUCCUGCUCUCUCCUAUUGGUUCAGAUAUCUGUUGCUGAGAAUGCUCUGAUUUCACCUUUUUUAAAAAGAUUUAUUUAUUUAUUUGAGAGGCAGUUACAGACAGAGAAGGGACAAAGAGAGAGGUCUCCCAUCCCCUGGCUC
rnacentral:lncRNA from 1 species